UGAAGAGUAAGCUGCUAAGGGCUUUGAUCCUUUCACUUGUUUAUUUAUUUGUCUUAUGGUAUCUCCUGUAGGUGCCUUGAUAAAUCUUUCCAUCUCUUCCCAAUAAUGUUGCCUUGAGCAUCAUUAUCCUUCUCCUCAGGGAAGUAGCUCUACCAUCUUCCCAGGUUUUGGACCUGCUCCAGUUGAUCCUUGCAAGGAAUUGUAGAGUUUUGGCUCAGAGGAGGAAUCCCUAAGAUUUCCAGUAUUCUGCCAACAGUACCUCCAGUACUCACUGAAGCCUCACAUAGAAAGUACUAAAGAAGAAAGAGAAACUAAGAUGGAUGUAACAGCAAAAACAAAACAAACCCAACAAUUGGAACAGCUCCCUAAAGAUGAUUGAAACUGCCUGAAUUCCAGUAAUGUCUGCAUCCUGUGUCUAAAUGAGAAAUCCAUAUAAUAGGUUAUGCCAAAUCUUUGCCAUUAAUAGUAUUUUUAAAAAGUGAACAUAAGUGGGAAUGACACCAACAGCAUCAAAAAUAUAGCAAAGAUGGUAG
rnacentral:lncRNA from 1 species